rnacentral:rRNA from 1 species
GAGUUUGAUCCUGGCUCAGAAUGAACGUUGGCGGCGUGGAUUAGGCAUGCAAGUCGAGCGAUAAGCGUAGCAAUACGUGGACAGCGGCGAAAGGGACAGUAAUGUGUAGAUCAUCUGCCCUCGGGUUCGGGAUAGCUGCGGGAAACUGCAGGUAAUACCGAAUAACAUCUCCGGAUCAAAGGUGUGAUUCCGCCCGAGGAUGAGUCUGCAUCCUAUUAGCUAGUUGGUAGGGUAACGGCCUACCAAGGCCAUGAUGGGUAGCGGGUGUGAGAGCACGACCCGCGUCACUGAGACUGAGACACUGCCCAGACACCUACGGGUGGCUGCAGUCGAGAAUCUUCGGCAAUGGACGCAAGUCUGACCGAGCGACGCCGCGUGUGGGAUGAAGGCCUUCGGGUUGUAAACCACUGUCAGAGGGGAUGAAAUGCAGGUGGGUUCUCCCAUCUGUUUGACAUAGCCUCAGAGGAAGUACGGGCUAAGUUCGUGCCAGCAGCCGCGGUAAGACGAACCGUACGAACGUUAUUCGGAAUCACUGGGCUUAAAGGGUGCGUAGGCGGCGCGGAAAGUUGGGUGUGAAAUCCCUCGGCUCAACCGAGGAACUGCGCCCAAAACUACCGUGCUCGAGGGAGAUAGAGGUGAGCGGAACUUAGGGUGGAGCGGUGAAAUGCGUUGAUAUCCUAAGGAACACCGGUGGCGAAAGCGGCUCACUGGAUCUCUUCUGACGCUGAGGCACGAAAGCUAGGGGAGCAAACGGGAUUAGAUACCCCGGUAGUCCUAGCCCUAAACGUUGGGUACUAGGUUGUGGACUAACAUGGGUUCACAGCCGGAGCAAAAGUAUUAAGUACCCCGCCUGGGGAGUAUGGUCGCAAGGCUGAAACUCAAAGGAAUUGACGGGGGCUCACACAAGCGGUGGAGCAUGUGGCUUAAUUCGAGGCUACGCGAAGAACCUUAUCCUGGGCUUGACAUGUGCGAAAGCGGUAGCAAGUAGGGGACGGAAACGCACCCCGAUCGGUAUCCAGUCCGGAAGCUACUACAGGUGCUGCAUGGCUGUCGUCAGCUCGUGUCGUGAGAUGUCGGGUUAAGUCCCAUAACGAGCGAAACCCUUGCCUCCAGUUGCCAGCGGGUCAUGCCGGGGACUCUGGAGGGACUGCCGGUGUUAAACCGGAGGAAGGUGGGGAUGACGUCAAGUCCUCAUGGCCUUUAUGCCCAGGGCUGCACACGUGCUACAAUGGCAUGAACAAAGGGACGCAAACCUGCGAGGGGGAGCUAAUCCCAAAAAACAUGCCUCAGUUCAGAUCGAAGGCUGCAACUCGCCUUCGUGAAGUUGGAAUCGCUAGUAAUCGCAGGUCAGCAACACUGCGGUGAAUGUGUUCCUGAGCCUUGUACACAC